rnacentral:rRNA from 1 species
GCUCGUGGAUCGAUGAAGACCGCAGCUAAAUGCGCGUCAGAAUGUGAACUGCAGGACACAUGAACACCGACAAGUUAAACGCAUAUUGCACACCGUACAACAGUACGAUGUACACAUUUUUGAGUGCCUAUAUUUAUCCAUUCAACUGUACGUGCGUGCGCGUCCCGCCACAUCGCUGGCGCGAGGACAGGCGCACCGCGUACGCGCAGUGACGUUUUCCCGAGCCCCUCGGUAAAACGUUGAAGAUAGUCAGGCGCGCCCCUCCCAACAACAACCAGUAGGCCUCAAAUAAUGUGUGACUACCCCCUAAAUUUAAGCA